GUUGCCUCAAGCUUUAACAAGGGAGGCUCAUGGUCUUGCACCCAUCUUCAAGACAAAUGCCCAGCUUCAAACCAGGAAAAAUAAGAAGGAGCACUGGCAGCAUGAGACCCUGGGGCCACUGACAGGCCCACCUGCUGACAGACUGGCCCUGCCCUGCCCAAGAAAACACCGUUUCCAAGCUAAUUAUUACUGCCCUUAUCAGUGGCACUGUCAGAGCUCCUGAUGCACUGCUGGGCUGGGCAAGAGGCACAGCAGCUUCCAGCAGCCACAAGCUACAUGAAGGUGCUCAUGGAGAAGAGGAAGAGAGAGGCAUGCGCUGCCUUCGUGUUUGGAAACUUUCAUUUUUGAUGCUGUGGGUGUGCUGCCAGCACAGGAGGGAUGGCAGCAGGGCUGUGCCUGGUCAGUGUCCCUGUGCCCGGGCUGUGACAGGGGUGGGACACUGCUGACAUCACCUGAGAGGCUGCCGAGCCAUUCUCAGAAAUUGAAAAAGGCACCAACUGGAAAUGACCAUUUAGCACUAUAAAAUGACUUUGUUAUUCAU
rnacentral:lncRNA from 1 species